AAGUAGUGACGUAAACGGCUGAAGCGGGAGCUAAUAUCACGUUUUGCGAUCUCUGACACAUCUUAAAUAAGUUUGAUCAAGUGUAUAAUUACUACAUCUUCUGUUUGGACUGCUCAUACCGCCAACCAUCAACUAUCACCAACAGGUUUCAAAAUGCUGGACUGAAUGAAGAGGAUAGCUCAAGCUAAAAUAGCUAAUUUGCUUGAGACAGUGAAGAACAACUAAAGAGAGAGAGAGAGACUGACCGUGCUGAAGGAAUUAUGAAGCUGAUCAAUCGUGAAGCUUGCUAAGAGUACUUGAGUGGUUUUAGUUCCGAGGAGGAGGAGGACGGCGGCGAUGAAUGACUUUUCUGCCCGACAGGAUGUACUGAAGGCUUACGUUGAUGGUGUUGCACAGGGGACAGGUCUCUUCAGCGCCAUAUUGGUGGAGGUUUCGUGGACAAGAUCAGACCACGACAUGGGCCUAUCUGUGACUCCUUCCCAUGAAGUCCAACCUCCUUGCCGGCUCUGAGACACUGCCUUGAUGUUCAGGCGUUCCUGCUUGGCCCUUAGCACCUCUGCCACCAGCAUGGCUCUCUGCUGUUCCCUGGAGGCCUUUGACUAGAACACAGGUGUCUUGCCUCUUCCGAGACCUGCUGGACUCUGCCAGCUGACUGCCUUGUCAACUUCCUCCUGGGCUUUCCACUUCCUCCCCGUUCUCACUUGGGUUCCUGCUGCAUUCACCAGCUGGCCAGUGGAUUCUCUGAGCUCCAGUACAAGUCGGGCCUUCUCCUGCUUGUAACCCAUGCUGAUGGAACGCAGUGGCAGCUGGAGCACAAUUAAACACAAGACGUGUGGUCCCUGGUCCCAUAUGCCAUAAGUGCCAGCGAGGCAGACAAGGCGAUUCCGGUGCAUGCUUAUCAAAAUAAAGCACUGAGAAACAAUUUUAUGAUAUUUAAAAUAGUUUUUAACUAAUUGUGGUCAAUAUGUGCGUAAAUAAUAAGCUAUAUAUGUAUCUAUAUAGUAUAUAUUUAUAUCCAUUCAUACAAUAUAUUACUUAAAAUUCUUUUCAAGCUUAAAAAAACCCAAAUUUUUAAGGUGUGGAGGCUUUUAUUUUGUAGUGGCGCACCGCCACGAACAAUUACAUGUAGCGGAAACCCUUAAUAUGUUUUAACAAGGAUACAAAAACGCUACAGUGCAGCGGAACGGCGCCAGGAUGCCAAAGAGGCACCGUCAGAGGAGUGUGAGUCACUUCAUAAGUUCUUGUGUCCAACCUUGUAGGUUAAUUAUUAAAAUUCAAAAAAAGGUUUGAACUUUUUUUGAGUAUUUAAACAAGAGAGAAAUGUGAGAAAAUGUUCAUGCCUGUCUGUGAAAAGUGUAUACAGUGUAUGGUGAGGGGUUUUACAGCCUUAUAACAUAUAUAAUAAUUCUAAAAAAAUAAAGUUGGCUAUUUUGGGAACCUAGCCCCUGCGAUAAAUGGGAGAACAUUGUAAUUCUCUUUUACCGUUUGCGGAUAACCAUUAACGUAUAACCAGUAGAGUGGGGCUUUUCUCUAUGCAGCUGAAGUGGGUUAAGGAGGGGGGGCAGGUGCCGACCAUCGACCACUGACCAUUUGCAACAGAGUUGGCGGAGGGAGCUGCAGAAUCUGAGCAUUUCAGCCAAAGGGAGAAGAAUGCAGAUUUACCAUGUUCACACAACUUUGAGUUUGUUUGUUUUUAAAGAAACGUACUAUAGCGUCCCACUGGGAUCCAGUGUAAUUUUUCAUCCAUCCAUCCAUCCAUUUUCUGUAUCACUUGCCCUCAGUGGGGUCACGAGUAUGCUGGAGAAAACCCAUGCAAUGGGAAAACAUGCAAGCU